GAUGAAGAACGUAGCGAAAUGCGAUAAGUAAUGCGAAUUGCAGAAUUUCCGUGAGUCAUCGAGUCUUUGAACGCACAUUGCGCCCCCUGGUAUUCCGGGGGGCAUGCCUGUCCGAGCGUCAUUGCUGCCCUCAAGCACGGCUUGUGUGUUGGGCCCCGUCCUCCGAUCCCGGGGGACGGGCCCGAAAGGCAGCGGCGGCACCGCGUCCGGUCCUCGAGCGUAUGGGGCUUUGUCACCCGCUCUGUAGGCCCGGCCGGUGCUUGCCGAUCAACCCAAAUUUUUAUCCAGGUUGACCUCGGAUCAGGUAGGGAUACCCGCUGAACUUAAGCAUAUCAAUAAGCGGAGGA
rnacentral:misc_RNA from 1 species